UCCCUGGUAGUAUAUCGGCUAGUACACCCGCCUGUCAUACAUGCGGAAAUUAUCCCUGUGCGCGGGAGAGCGGGGUUCGACUCCCCGCCAGGGAG